GACGGUACCCCUGGAACAAGUGUCGGCUAACUACGUGCCAGCAGCCGUGGUAACACGUACGACACAAGCGUCAUCCGGAUUUACUGGGCGUACAGCGUCUGCCAGGCUGUCCUGUAAGUUGGGCGUAAAAGCUCCGGGCCCAAGCCGGAGAGGUCGUUCACUACUGCGUGUCUACAGGGUGUCAGACGCGAGUGGAAUUUCCGGAGUAGCGGGGAAAACGCGCAGAGAUCGGUAAGAACACGCAAUGGCGAAGGCUGCUCCCUGGGGCCAACCCUUACGCUAAGAGACGAAAGCUAGGGGAGCGAACACGAUUCUAUACCCUGGUAGUCCUAGCCCUAAGCGAUGGAUGCUGGAUGUGCGGCCGUAGCGCUCCGUGUCGAAGCCGAACGCGUGAAAGCAGGCCCGCCUGGGGAAUUACGGCCGGAAGGUUUAAGACUCAAACGACAUUGACGGGACCCCGCACAAGCAGCGGAGCGUGUGGUGUAAUUCCGAUGCUACGGGAAAGAACCUGACCUGGGUCUGACAUGUAGGUGGUAGUGAAGCGAAAGCGGAGCGACCCUUCGGGGAGCCUAGACAGGUGCUGCAUGGCUGUCGUCAGCUCGUGCCGUGAGGUGUCAGGGUUAAGUCCCAGUAACGAGCGCAACCCUUGCCAUGCCGUUAUACGUGUCAGAGGGGACGGCCGGCGGUAAGCCGGAGGAAGGUGGGGAUGACGUCAAGUCAGCAUGGCCGUUAUAUCCAGGGCUACACACACGCUGCAAUGGCCAGUACAAAGGGCAGCGAAGCGAGCGAGGUGGAGCGAAUCCCAGCACAGCUGGUCGUAGUUCGGAUGGCAGGCAGCAACCCGCCUGCAUGAAGCUGGAGUUGCUAGUUACCGCGCGUCAGCCAUAGU
rnacentral:rRNA from 1 species